ACGAACGCUGGCGGCGUGCUUAACACAUGCAAGUCGAACGGAAAGGCCCUGCUUUUGUGGGGUGCUCGAGUGGCGAACGGGUGAGUAACACGUGAGUAACCUGCCCUUGACUUUGGGAUAACUUCAGGAAACUGGGGCUAAUACCGGAUAGGAGCUCCUGCUGCAUGGUGGGGGUUGGAAAGUUUCGGCGGUUGGGGAUGGACUCGCGGCUUAUCAGCUUGUUGGUGGGGUAGUGGCUUACCAAGGCUUUGACGGGUAGCCGGCCUGAGAGGGUGACCGGCCACAUUGGGACUGAGAUACGGCCCAGACUGCUACGGGAGGCAGCAGUGGGGAAUAUUGCACAAUGGGCGGAAGCCUGAUGCAGCAACGCCGCGUGCGGGAUGACGGCCUUCGGGUUAUAAACCGCUUUCGCCUGUGACGAAGCGUGAGUGACGGUAAUGGGUAAAGAAGCACCGGCUAACUACGUG
rnacentral:rRNA from 1 species